rnacentral:rRNA from 1 species
AUUGAACGCUGGCGGCAUGCCUUACACAUGCAAGUCGAACGGCAGCGCGGGGCAACCUGGCGGCGAGUGGCGAACGGGUGAGUAACAUAUCGGAACAUACCCUAGAGUGGGGGAUAACGUAGCGAAAGUUACGCUAAUACCGCAUACGCACUAAGGUGGAAAGUGGGGGAUUCGCAAGAACCUCAUGCUCAUGGAGUGGCCGAUAUCUGAUUAGCUAGUUGGUGAGGUAAAGGCUCACCAAGGCGACGAUCAGUAGCUGGUUUGAGAGAACGACCAGCCACACUGGGACUGAGACACGGCCCAGACUCCUACGGGAGGCAGCAGUUGGGAAUCUUGGACAAUGGGGGAAACCCUGAUCCAGCCAUGCCGCGUGAGUGAUGAAGGCCUUCGGGUUGUAAAACUCUUUCGACGGGGGACGAUAAUGACGGUACCGUAGAAGAAGCUCCGGCUAACUACGUGCCAGCAGCCGCGGUAAU